GUGACACAUUGUUUUCCUCUUGUGACAUUCAGGAAGAUGGUUGAUGUUUUUGCUGGUCUUGUGAUUGCAUCAUGUUUCAUAGUUUUGGUAAUAGACGACACUCAGGCGGUGUGUUGCCGCAAAGCCCAUGCUGACGGGUUUUGUGCAGAUUGUAGCAAGACUUGGUGGUACUGUGGAAAGGGAGCUGCAAUAUAUUUGGCUGUGCAUGCCAGGGAGGAUGUAAAGAAAGUUGCAACCCAACUUUUAUGAGAGAAGAUCCCGGCUGCAUUUGUAAAAAUCAAAGAAGGGGCAUUCCAGCUAAUGUUCCCGCCAUUUAAGAUGUUGAUAC